rnacentral:rRNA from 1 species
GACGAAGGGGGCUAGCGUUGUUCGGAAUUACUGGGCGUAAAGCGAGUGUAGGUGGUUGUCCAAGUUGGAUGUGAAAGCCUUGAGCUCAACUCAAGAAAUGCAUUCAGGACUGGGCGGCUAGAGGACCGGAGAGGAUAGUGGAAUUCCCAGUGUAGUGGUGAAAUACGUAGAGAUUGGGAAGAACACCAGUGGCGAAGGCGAACUACCUGGCCUGUUCUUGACGCUGAGGCGCGAAAGCUAGGGGAGCAAACGGGG